rnacentral:rRNA from 1 species
GCGAAACCGUGUGAUCUACCCAUGGGCAGGCUGAAGCUGUAGUAACAUACAGUGGAGGGCCGAACCGGUUGACGUUGAAAAGUCUUCGGAUGACCUGUGGGUAGGGGUGAAAGGCCAAUCAAACUCGGAAAUAGCUCGUACUCCCCGAAAUGCAUUUAGGUGCAGCGUUGUAUGUAUUUAUAUAGAGGUAGAGCUACUGAUUGGAUGCGGGGGCUUCACCGCCUACCAAUUCCUGACAAACUCCGAAUGCUAUGAAAUGUUAAUCAGCAGUGAGGGCAUGGGUGCUAAGGUCCAUGUCCGAGAGGGAAAGAACCCAGACCAUCAGCUAAGGUCCCAAAAUAUAUGUUAAGUUGAAAUAACGAGGUUGGACUGCCCAGACAGCUAGGAUGUUGGCUUGGAAGCAGCCAUUCAUUUAAAGAGUGCGUAACAGCUCACUAGUCGAGCGGUUCGGCAUGGAUAAUAAUCGGGCAUAAACAUACUACCGAAGCUAUGGCAUCUUUAAGAUGGGUAGGGGAGCAUUCUAUAUGUAUUGAAGUUGAGCUGUGAGGCUUGGUGGAACGUAUAGAAAAGAAAAUGUAGGCAUAAGUAACGAUAAUGCGGGCGAGAAACCCGCACUCCGAAAAACCAAGGUUUCCUCAGCUAUGCUAAUCAGCUGAGGGUCAGUCGGGGCCUAAGGCGAACCCGAAAGGGACAGUCGAUGGACAACGGGUUAAUAUUCCCGUACCUGCCCACAACAAAAGUGACGGAGGCGUGAAUUUGGUGCGCACUGACGGAAUAGUGCGUUGAAGCCAGUGGCAACACGGCGAUAGUACACUGAGGCCUCGGCCAAGGUGAUAAUCCAGAGUAGCGACUUCCAAGAAAAGCGAGUGAGGCAGCCCGUACCCCAAACCGACACAGGUGGUUGGGAUGAGAAUUCUAAGGAGCUCGAGAGAUUCAUGGCUAAGGAACUAGGCAAAAU